UUUGGCACGAAGGAUGAUUUCACCACUCCAAGAAGGGGUUGGAGGAUCCGAAGGAGGAGUAUAAGAGAGAGAGAACACCAGCCAGGAUCUCCAACACAACUUGGCCAAGCGCUGCGUUCUCGUUGUUCUUCGACUGAGGUUUGAAGACUUCUCCAGAUGGACCCUCAACGAGAAAAUAUAUUGAAACAGCUUCUUUGAGAAAUAGUUGUCAUUUUUCUCCAGUACACAAUUGUAGAACCUAUUGUGGACCUUCCCAUCCAGACCAAUUUUGACACGUCCAGCCGGUGCAAUUCUGACUCACUCAGCAGGGACGGUCUGAGGAAACUGCUGGAUGAACAGCUUCCCAACCAGCUGAAGGUCAGAAGCCCACUCAAGAUGCCGAUUCCAAGUUCAAUGUUAGCGGCUUUUCUAGAGAUCGACCAGAUUUUCGCUGAGUACACUAUCACAAUCCCUGUUUCGGCCCCUCUCAUCCAGGCCAAUUCUGAUACGCGCAGCCGGUACAAUUCUGACUCACUCAGCAGAGACGGUCUGAGGAAACUGCUGGAUAAGCAGCUUCCCAACUAUCUGAAGUGCCCAGGAGACCCAAAGGAAUUUGAUGAGCUGUUUAAAAGGUUGGACCAGAACUGUGAUCAGCAUAUCAGCUUUGAAGAGUUCACUGUUCUGAUCAGAGAUGUUAUGCUCACUAUGUAUGAGAAAUGACAGUGUGAAGGUUGGGAUGGAGACGGUCAUCACCCCUGAGCACUCAGAGGGAAGCCGCUAUGCUUUGUGGACCCGUCCAGAUCCUGAAGGUCCUCUAUUCCUGGGGUGAGGGCCUACAUCAGACAAGAAAGAGCCAAUUGGAUAUUUUUAAAAACUGCUUGUUUCAUUCCUUUAUCUUUAAUCUGGGAGUGGUUUUGAUCUAAUCCUUGCUUCAUU